UACGUAGGGUGCGAGCGUUGUCCGGAAUUAUUGGGCGUAAAGAGCUCGUAGGCGGUGUGUCACGUCGGCCGUGAAAACCUGCAGCUUAACUGUGGGCGUGCGGUCGAUACGGGCAUCACUGGAGUUCGGCAGGGGAGACUGGAAUUCCCGGUGUAGCGGUGAAAUGCGCAGAUAUCGGGAAGAACACCCGUGGCGAAGGCGGCUCUCGUGGGACGGUA
rnacentral:rRNA from 1 species